AGCAGCCGCGGUAAUUCCAGCUCCAAUAGCGUAUAUUAAAGUUGUUGCAGUUAAAAAGCUCGUAGUUGAAUUUCGGGGUCGGUAGGUUGGUCAUGCCUCAGGUAUGCACUGGUCUCACUGAUUCCUCCUUCCUGAUGAGCCGUAAUGCCAUUAAUUUGGUGUUGCGAGGAAUCUGGACUGUUACUUUGAAAAAUUAGAGUGUUUAAAGCAAGCUAACGCUUGAAUACAUUAGCAUGGAAUAAUGGAAUAGGACGUUCGAUCCUAUUUUGUUGGUUUCUAGGAUUGACGUAAUGAUUAAUAGGGAUAGUUGGGGGCAUUAGUAUUCAAUUGUCAGAGGUGAAAUUCUUGGAUUUAUUGAAGACUAACUACUGCGAAAGCAUUUGCCAAGGAUGUUUUCAUUAAUCAAGAACGAAAGUUAGGGGAUCGAAGACGAUCAGAUACCGUCGUAGUCUUAACCAUAAACUAUGCCGACUAGGGAUCGGAUGAUGUUAAUUUUUAAUGA
rnacentral:rRNA from 1 species